rnacentral:lncRNA from 1 species
CCCGAGGGGGCGCCAUCUGUGAGGCCCCAGGAUGGUGCGUGCCGCGCCACGCAGGCUUGGGCCCCACCAUUUGGUCUCAGCCACAGAACCUGGGCGGGAACUUGGCCACCCAGGAAGAGUCAGGGCGUGCAAGGAUCUCAGCCUCCUGAGCUCAACACGGGGGCUCCUGGGGGCGUCUGCCCAUCCCAGGUCCCACGCGAGUGAGCCAGGGCGCUGCAGCCCGGACACGGUGUUCCCCCCCAGCCAGGACACCCUGGAGCGGGCAACCGGGCCAACCCCCAGAGACUGCCCCCAGCCACGCAGCCCGAGGGGCAUCUCUGCACUGCUCCAUCUACAGGUGGGGACCUCGAGGGCGGUUAAGUGGCUUAGCCCGGGGACACGGAUGGCCAGGUCCGCCCCUAUCCUGACGGUUCUGGGGGAACAGGUGCAGAGAGGAGCCCUGGGACAGGAUGGUCACCAGCCCAGCUGCCUCCGGCUCACCCCAGAGGCCAGCAGUGUCGCGGGCUUCCCAGGGUCGCUCCGAAAAGUGUCCCCAGAUGGGGCGCUGCCUGGGCCCUGGCAGGUGUGGGGAGCCCAGAGUGCCCACAGAGGGGCCCUUUCUCUCCACCCCCACUCCCCAGCUCACAGCUGGGGGGGGCACUCAGGCCAAACCCAAGACCAGUCCAGCUUGGAAUGCCUGCAGGUGUCAGCUGCCCCCCCCCGACAGCGCCCAGCCUCCCCUGCCCCUCCCCUGCCCACGACACCUGUCCUGCCCCACUGGGCUGUGCGGGCGGACCAACCAGGAGGACUGCAGGGUCACAGAAAUCUGGGUCAGUCUUUCCCGGGACCCAGGACCCCCCGGAGGCCUCACCGCAAACCGCCCCUGGCCGCUAGAACCCCACCCAACAUCCCCAGGCAAAACCGAGGGGUAGAAGGCGCGGCUCGAGGCCAGGACGGUGGACACGGAGCCUGCGGGGGCCUCGUGCAGUACACCCAGGAAGACGGCACAGCGCUCAGGACACGCGUGCAGGGCGACG